AAUUAAACCACGUUUUGCACUGACCUCUAACACUUCUGAACAAACAACUGAUAUCUCGUGCGCUGAAGCACAGCGUGAGCUAAGGGCAAUUUCAGAAACUCUCACAGACCCAGAUCGAAUUGAUCUUUCAAGAAUGAACAUGUUGCUGCGUGCAACCAUUCAAAUACGGCAGCAAAAUCCAGUUGAGGAGCUCCCUGUAUACCUUCUGAAUGCAGCUGUGUUGGCAUGGAGGUUGAGAUUAGGUUUGGGGCAUCAUUGCACACUAUGGAAAGUGAACUUCAUAGAAUGCUGGAAAAGG